GCGGGAUGGUGAGGCAGCCCAGAACCAGCAAAAGCAGAAAGACUGUACCUCCUGUAGGACUAGAUAGAGACACAGAAGAGUUGGUGUUUUCAGAGUCCUGUAGGUAUUAAGGCAGGAGCUAUUUGGUCUGGAUGUAGCUGGAACCCUGGAGGAGAUGCAGCCACUGCCAGCGAUGCCACCUUAAAGCAGAAAGAAUGGAGUAGAAGUAAUCCAUUUUUUCCCUGACUUCUACUCUUCAUUCUUCUAGAGUACAAGCCACUAGCUUGAAGCCAGGACUUCAAAUACGUGACAAUAGAGACAAAUGAAUGAGGAAAAGAAAUACAAAAAUAUACCUUUUAUCAUGAGGAUUAUUCUUUCCUGAAGGACGCGUGAGACAUUUGGUGCAGAAGACCUGGGUCAGAGGGACUCCUUCGGGAGACCAGUCUCCUGUCCUCAUCCUCACUCCGUGAAGAGAUCCACCUAUGACUUUGGGUCCUCAGACCAACCAGCCCAAGGAACAUCUCACCAAUUUCAAAUUGGGUAAGCGGUCUUUUCACUCUCUUCUCCAGGCUCUCUCGCUACCCUUCAAUCUCCCUGUCCUUCCAAUUCCUGUUCUUUUUCCUCUCUAGUAGAGACAAAGGAGACACAUUUUAUCAGUGGACCCAAAACUCCGGCACAGGUCACGGACUCAGAAAGACAGCCUUCCCUUGGUGUUUAAUCAUUGUGGGGAUGCCUGCCUGAUUAUUCACUCACAUUCCAUUGGUGUCUGAUCACCACGGGGACGCCUGCCUUGGUCAUUCACUCACAUUCCCAUGGUGAUCUCCUCAGCUUAGCAGUUGAAGACUGAUGCUGCCUGAUCACCUCAGAAGCCCCCUGGACCAUCAAGGAUGCCGAGCUUCAAGUAACUCUUACAGUGGAGGGUAAGUCCAUCCCUUGUUUAAUCGAUAACGGGGGCUACCCACUCCACAUUACCUUCUUUUGAAGGGCCUGUUUUCCCUUGGCCCCAUAACUGUUCUGAGUAUUGACAGCCAAGCUUCAAAACCCCUUAAAACUCCCCCACUCUGGUGCCAACUUGGACAACAUUCUUUUAUGUACUCUUUUUCAGUUAUCCCCACCUGCCCAGUUCCCUUAUUAGGCCGAGACAUUUUAACCAAAUUAUCUGCUUCCCUGAUUAUUCCUGGACCACAGCCACAUCUCAUUGCCACCCUUCUUCCCAACCCAGAGCCUCCUUCACAUCUUCCUCUCAUAUCCCCCCACCUUAACCCACAAGUAUGGGACACCUCCACACCCUCCCUGGCAACCGAUCACAUGCCCAUUACUAUCUCGUUAAAACCUAAUCACCCCACCCAAUGCCAGUAUCCCAUCCCAUAACAGGCUUUAAGGGGAUUAAA
rnacentral:lncRNA from 1 species